CAGCAGCAUUCCAGGAAGAGAGGCUGGGACAGGAGGCAGGACAGCUUGUUCUGAGGUCUCCGGGAAGAUGGUGAAGAUGGGCGGUGCCUUGAGGUGGACAGGGAGGCUGGGGCAAGGGUUUGGCUUUUAUCACACUGAGAGCCACGGGGAGCCCGUGACAGUUCUGAGCUCCUGGUGAAGUUCCAGGGAGCACAGUGAGGACUGAUCAGUGUGGGAGAGGACGGUGGGAGUGGAUGGCCUCCAGAGGGAUAUAAGGGAAAGCUGAGCGAACUUGCCAAUGGAUUCAUAAUGUAGGCGAAGGAGGGAGAGGAGCCACUGUGACCCCUGAUAAGCAGGAUGGCUGGGGGUGGGGGGUGCACCAGGAGACUCCUCUUCUGGAGGAAACAUCUUGAGUUCUGUUCAGGACGUGCUGAGUUUCAGGCGUGCCUGUGAACUGCCAAGAGGCAAUGAGCAAGUUGUUGGAACCCAGAGGCUGGAGAGGGGAAUCUGAGAGUUAUCAGCGUGUGGCUUGGAUCUAAAGCCAUGGACAAGGAGGAGGUCACUGUGGGAGGACGUGCAGAAGAGGAGAGGUCCCAGGACCAUGCCUGGGGGAGCGCUUAACAUUCAAAGGCCUAGGAGAGGAGGCUGACCAGGCCAGAUACAGAGAGGAAGGCAGCAGAGUGCCCUGUGACAGGUGAGCGACAAGCCAGCAGGUCCCCUCUUCCCAGAAGACCGGAGCCCGCUGCCGGUGUUAGCCAUGAGGAGGUUGCCGGUGACUUCAGCAAAACCUGGGUUUGCAGGGGUGCAGAUUUGAGGCCUCACUAGAGGAGGGUGUGAGCGAUGUGGGAAGGUCGCCAGUUUGGGGAGAUCCAGCUGUAAGAAGAGGAAAGAGGAUGAGGUAGAAGAUUGGAAGGAGGCAGAGGCGUGGGCAGAUCCGAUGCCAAAGGAAAUGACAUUUACCUUCUGGCCGCACCCAUGUGCUGAGCAGACAGAGAAGAUAGAGGUGCAGGGAUGGUGAUGAUCGAAGGGGAGCCUUCCUUAGAGCACAAGGGCGUGUGCCUGCAAUGGGAGCCCGUGUCCUGAUGAAGGACAGAGGGACCCAUGGGCGACGCCCCGGUGACAAUAAUAAUCAGACCCCGGGUGGCAUGGCAGGGAGUUCUGGUUUGGAGUUUGCUGAUCCCCGUGGCGUACUCUCACCACGGCCAAUGUCAAGCUCCCAACCUGACUUCACUGGAGGCACAUUUGACCGUUGGCUCGGGUUCAGAAACCUGCAAUGGGCCACGGGAUCAGGAGCAGGAAGCAGGGAGGGGCAGGAAGGGGCAGUGUCCAGCAGAUGCUGGGCUGCGGGAACGCAGGCCCAGGUAGCCAGGUGCUCCCAAGCUUUCCGCCUGGUGGUAUGAGUCCUCCCCAUCCCUUCCUUACUUCCUUUCUCUCUCUUGGUUUAUGGCUUUUUUGUUCCCUCCUUUGUUUUCUCCCAUCCUUCUCUUCCGCUCUGCGCUGGACGCUGGCGUAUCAUAGACGAGCAAAAUGGAGUUCUUACCCUCAAGUUGUUCGUGACUAGUAGGGAUCCCACUCAGGCUCAACUUGGUGCCCAGAGGUCUGGUGAGGUGGAGGAGGCGAGAGGCGUUAGGUGGCUUCUCAGACAUGCAGAGGUCAGGCAGGGACAGAGAAUGAGGUGUUUCUGGCAAAUGAGGGGCACUGCCCAGGCCAAGGUGCUGAGGUGCCCUGGCCAGAUGACGUGCUUCAGCGUGGCUGGGCCCAAGGAGCCAAUGAGGGUCUUUUGGGAGGAAGUAAGUCUGGAGAGAGAACAGGGCCCAGGCCCACCUGGCUUUGCAGGCCCCAUGAAUUUAACCUCAUACAAAGGUGGCCAGGAGCAAUUGUGUUCAGGGACAAGCAAGGAGUGGUGUGGUCAGAUCUGCAUUUUAGAAAAAUAAUUCUGGUUAUAAUCUGGCCCUGGGGGUGGGAGCGUCCAGAGGGGGGACAGGGAGACAGCGAGGAGGCUAUGGUGGCCAGGCAGGAGGGGACUGGUGGUGGCCUGGACUGGGGAAGCCAUAGGAGGUGGAAGGAAGGUGAACACAGCUGACGUUUUACUGAGCUGAGUGCUCAGUGUCUGCCAGGCCCUGUGUUCUAAGCACAUUAGACAUACCGUCUCGCGUACCCCUCCAGUCGACUCUCGGGGCCCCAUUGUACAGAUAAAGAAAAGGCUUGGGGAUUAGAGGAUCAGGUAAGGCAAUAUAAGAGUAGCAAAAACAAAUUGAAGAGCUUGCUCAGGCUUGACAAGGUGGGGGUUGCCAUCCAUGAGACCCUAGCCCUGGACCAGGAUGGGCCAGAGGCUGGAGAACACGAGUUUCAUUUGGACAUGUUGUCUGGGGGCCUUUGUGACAUCCAAGCAGAGAGGUCCCCUGCAGAGUUAGACAUUCAUUCAGGCCUGAGGCUCUGGGAGAAGCCGGGUUGACUGUAAGAGGUUUGGGGAUCCAUGGCUAGAAGCCAUGGACGCAGGUGAACUUGGCCAGGGAGCACGUGGAGAGUGAAGAGAGGUGCAAACACAGGGAGCCCCGGUGUGUGGGGCCGGGAAGGAAGAGCAGUGGCAAAGGAGCAGCUAAGGGGGCCGUCAGAGGUAGGGGAGUCCUGCGGGGCACGAGGAGGCUUCUCAGAGCACAGGGGAGGGGAGACAAGGAAGCAGAUGUUCACGUCAUCCCUCAUUGCAGAGACAGGUUGAGAAGUAUGCACUAGAAACAAAGAACAGGGUCACCGUCAGGCCUGCUGGAGUGGUUUUCAUGGGGCAGUGGGGGCCGGAGCCAGAAGGGGACUGAGUGACAGGUGAGGGAGCGGGACCAGACUGGGGCCUGCCUUUCCGCAGCAUGGCCGUGGAGGUGAGGGGCGAGCGGGGGGAGGCGGCUGAGGGCUUACUUACUGUUGAGAAAUGAAGGUUUGCCUUUAGCAUGUCCUAAAAUUUUCCAUUUACAGCCUUGAUUUUAAUUAAUUGGUAGAGCUUCGGUAACUCCAUCCUACUGGGAACUUACAAAGUACAGUAAAACUUCAGCUAGCCAGAAUUCUUGGCAAACGAGCCACUCAGGAAAACGAACAUUUAUUGGCGUGAAAAGAUUUGAAAUAUAAGAUUUCUUUUUAAAAACAUUUUUAGUAUGGAUAUAAUCACAUAAACAUAUGCAGUAGGGAGAAGACUGUAAUGAACCCCCACAUCCUCACCAUCCCACGUGAAUAGUAGCUCCAGACCAGUCCUGUGCCCUCCACACCCCGCUGCCCCCAAACUCUGGGACACUUGGAAGCAAACCCUAGACAUUUUAUCACUUCAUUUGUACAGCUUUGGUACGUUUCUCUAAGAGACAAAACCUUUUUUAAAAACCGUGACCACAAUACCAUUAUCACGCCUAAAAUCUUUAACAAUAAUUCCUUAAUUUAAUCAAGCAUUCAUUGUUCGGAUUCCCCAACAGUUUCGAUUCCCCCCCCCCCCCCCAGUUGGUGGGUUAAAAUUAGGCUCCAAACAAGUCCACACAUGGCAUUUAUUUGCUCUGUCUGUUAAGACUCCCUUUCUUCUCUUCGUGUCAUUUGCGUGUUGAGGAAACCGGGCUGCCCGGAGGCAUGUGUGUUUGGGAAUGUGGGACAGAGCUGGGCACCACAGCGGAGCGAGCAGGACGGGGAAGUCCGGGGUUGGCAGGACGAUGACCAGAUAGUCGGGACACCUAGCUACGGGAAGGAGGCAGGAUGUGGAGGCCCGUCCUGAGCAAGGGGAGAGGCCAGAGCUGCUGAGGGCUGGGGCCUGUCCUCAUGAUCCCUGAGGCCUUACGGCUGCCGGAGCUGAAGAGAGGUGGAAAGAUGGCCAGGGCCCAGGAAUGGGGCAGAGCCAGGUGGGCGACAGGUCAGGGGUCAGGCUGGAGAUGAGGAAGGGGCUGGGCCUGAGGUCAGGCCUAGAAGGAACAGGAUGUCUGUUGGGGCUGAAGGGAGAGAGGGGAGUGCCAACAGAACCCAGCUCCUCCCCACCUGGCCCCGUCCCCAGGGCCCCUCCCCUGGCCUCCCAGCUGCGGCUCCACUCAGGGGCCCAGACACCAGUUCCCUUCACAAUGCUGGUGAUCAGGGGCCCUGAUCCCUUGUUCUGCCUUCUCCUCCUCCUGCUCGUGGGCCCCCACAACCCCGUGGGGGCCAGUCCUCCUCAGAGAAGGUUUGAGUAUAAGCUCAGCUUCAAAGGACCAAGACUGGCGUUGCCUGGGGCUGGAAUACCCUUCUGGAGCCAUCAUGGAGAUGCCAUACUGGGCCUGGAGGCAGUGCGGCUGGCCCCAUCCAUGCGGAACCGCAGCGGCGCCGUGUGGAGCAGGGCCCCUGUCCCCUUCUCUGCCUGGGAGGUGCAUGUGCAGAUGAGGGUGACCGGGCCAGGGCGGCGGGGAGCCCAGGGCAUGGCCGUGUGGUACACCCGGGGCAGGGGCCAAGUAGGCUCUGUCCUGGAGGGGCUGGCCUCGUGGGACGGCAUCGGGAUCCUCUUCGACUCCUCCACCGAGGAUACCCAGAACAGCCCCAUCAUCCGUGUACUGGCCAGUGAUGCGCACACUCGCUACGAGCCGCGUGGGGAUGCAGCCAGCGGGGUGCUGGGCUCCUGCCGCCGGGACUUCCGUAACCUGCCGAACCCCCUCAGAGUUCGGAUCACUUACUGGGGGCAGAGGCUGCGGGUGUCCUUGAACAGUGGCCUCACUCCCAACGACUUAGAUGAGGUCUGUGUUGACGUGGGUCCACUGCUUUUGGCUCCUGGAGGUUUCUUUGGGGUCUCGGCAGCCACGGGCACCCUGGCAGAUGACCAUGACAUCCUGUCCUUCCUGACCUUCAGUCUGAGUGAGCCGGAUCCAAAGCCUCCCCCACCGCCCUUUCUGGAGAUGGAGCAGCUCCGGCUGGUGAAGCAGCUGGCAGGGCUUCGGGCAAGGCUGGCCCUGGGCGCCAGGGAGGAUGUGAUCCCAAAGCUGAGCUCCGAAGUCCAGGAAGAGGGGAAAAGGAUCCUUGGCCUGGAAGAGACGCUGGGCAGACACCGCCAGAUCCUGCAGGCUCUCCAGGGUCUCUCCAGACAGUUGGCCCAGGCCGAGAGGCAGUGGAAGAAGCACCUGGGGACCCCAGGCCAUGCCAGGCCUGAGGGAGCCUGGGAUUCUGCCAAGGUCAGCGCCCUGCUCCGUGGACAGAGGUCUCUGCUCCAGGACCUGCAAGAGAUGAGGGAUGCAGCUGCCCACGUGGUCUCAAAAGCCCAGCUCUUCUAUCUGCCUGUGGGCACCAAGCAUCAUUUCUCAGAGCUGGCCCAGAUCCUGGGCCUCCUGCAGAAGGACCUUCGGGGCCCACUGAAAGCGGCAGCCAAGAACCGCCGCCCACCUGGCCAACCCCCAGGAGCCUCCUCGUGCCUGCGGCCCAGCAUCUUCUUGUUCUUCCUCCUCAUUCAGACUAUAGGCUUCUUCUGUUACGUGCACUUCAGUAGGCAGGAGCUGGACAAGAGCCUUCAGGACUGUUUGUCCACAGGCAGCCCUCCUCUGUGUCCUGCACCACGCAUUCCUGGCGCCCUGGGGAUUCUGAGGAGGCAGCCUCUCUCCUCCAGCAUACACGCAUGACUCACCUCAAAGCCCUGAAGGAAUCUCCCCAGGAAGUGGAUGGUGUCCAGGGGGUAGCUGGGAGUGGGCUCCAAGCGGGCAAGGACAUCAAGGACUGGUCUGAUUGCCAAAAGACCAGAUACCCCACAAGCCUCGAGCCCUGGACUAUGGAUCGAGAGGGAGUCACAACUGUGGUAAUUCUGUCCCCA